rnacentral:rRNA from 1 species
CCUACGGGCUGCACCAGUGGGGAAUAUUGCACAAUGGGCGCAAGCCUGAUGCAGCCAUGCCGCGUGUAUGAAGAAGGCCUUCGGGUUGUAAAGUACUUUCAGCGGGGGGGAAGGUGUUGUGGUUAAUAACCACAGCAAUUGACGUUACCCGCAGAAGAAGCACCGGCUAACUCCGUGCCAGCAGCCGCAGUAAUACGGAGGGUGCAAGCGUCAAGCGGAAUUACUGGGCGUAAAGCGCACGCAGGCGGUCUGUCAAGUCGGAUGUGAAAUCCCCGGGCUCAACCUGGGAACUGCAUUCGAAACUGGCAGGCUAGAGUCUUGUAGAGGGGGGUAGAAUUCCAGGUGUAGCGGUGAAAUGCGUAGAGAUCUGGAGGAAUACCGGUGGCGAAGGCGGCCCCCUGGACAAAGACUGGCGCUCAGGUGCGAAAGCGUGGGGAGCAAACAGGAUUAGAUACCCCAGUAGUC